rnacentral:rRNA from 1 species
UACGAUGGGGGCUAGCGUUGUUCGGAUUUACUGGGCGUAAAGCGCACGUAGGCGGAUUGGUCAGUUAGAGGUGAAAUCCCGAAGCUCAACUUCGGAACUGCCUUUAAUACUGCCAGUCUAGAGUCCGGAAGAGGUGAGUGGAACUCCUAGUGUAGAGGUGGAAUUCGUAGAUAUUAGGAAGAACACCAGUGGCGAAGGCGGCUCACUGGUCCGGUACUGACGCUGAGGUGCGAAAGCGUGGGGAGCAAACAGG